AUUGAACGCUGGCGGCAGGCCUAACACAUGCAAGUCGAGCGGUAGCACAGAGAGCUUGCUCUCGGGUGACGAGCGGCGGACGGGUGAGUAAUGUCUGGGAAACUGCCUGAUGGAGGGGGAUAACUACUGGAAACGGUAGCUAAUACAGCAUAACGUCGCAAGACCAAAGUGGGGGACCUUCGGGCCUCAUGCCAUCAGAUGUGCCCAGAUGGGAUUAGCUAGUAGGUGGGGUAACGGCUCACCUAGGCGACGAUCCCUAGCUGGUCUGAGAGGAUGACCAGCCACACUGGAACUGAGACACGGUCCAGACUCCUACGGGAGGCAGCAGUGGGGAAUAUUGCACAAUGGGCGCAAGCCUGAUGCAGCCAUGCCGCGUGUGUGAAGAAGGCCUUCGGGUUGUAAAGCACUUUCAGCGGGGAGGAAGGCGGUGAGGUUAAUAACCUCAUCGAUUGACGUUACCCGCAGAAGAAGCACCGGCUAACUCCGUGCCAGCAGCCGCGGUAAUACGGAGGGUGCAAGCGUUAAUCGGAAUUACUGGGCGUAAAGCGCACGUAGGCGGUCUGUCAAGUCGGAUGUGAAAUCCCCGGGCUCAACCUGGGAACUGCAUUCGAAACUGGCAGGCUAGAGUCUUGUAGAGGGGGGUAGAAUUCCAGGUGUAGCGGUGAAAUGCGUAGAGAUCUGGAGGAAUACCGGUGGCGAAGGCGGCCCCCUGGACAAAGACUGACGCUCAGGUGCGAAAGCGUGGGGAGCAAACAGGAUUAGAUACCCUGGUAGUCCACGCCGUAAACGAUGUCGAUUUGGAGGUUGUGCCCUUGAGGCGUGGCUUCCGGAGCUAACGCGUUAAAUCGACCGCCUGGGGAGUACGGCCGCAAGGUUAAAACUCAAAUGAAUUGACGGGGGCCCGCACGAGCGGUGGAGCAUGUGGUUUAAUUCGAUGCAACGCGAAGAACCUUACCUGGUCUUGACAUCCACAGAACUUUCCAGAGAUGGAUUGGUGCCUUCGGGAACUGUGAGACAGGUGCUGCAUGGCUGUCGUCAGCUCGUGUUGUGAAAUGUUGGGUUAAGUCCCGCAACGAGCGCAACCCUUAUCCUUUGUUGCCAGCGGUCCGGCCGGGAACUCAAAGGAGACUGCCAGUGAUAAACUGGAGGAAGGUGGGGAUGACGUCAAGUCAUCAUGGCCCUUACGACCAGGGCUACACACGUGCUACAAUGGCAUAUACAAAGAGAAGCGACCUCGCGAGAGCAAGCGGACCUCAUAAAGUAUGUCGUAGUCCGGAUUGGAGUCUGCAACUCGACUCCAUGAAGUCGGAAUCGCUAGUAAUCGUAGAUCAGAAUGCUACGGUGAAUACGUUCCCGGGCCU
rnacentral:rRNA from 1 species